rnacentral:rRNA from 1 species
GAUGAACGCUGGCGGCGUGCUUAACACAUGCAAGUCGAACGGUGAAGCCCAGCUUGCUGGGUGGGUUCGUGGCGAACGGGUGAGUAACACGUGAGUAACCUGUCCUUUACUCUGUGAUAAGCCUUGGAAACUGGGUCUAUUACCGGAUAGGAGCGUCCACCGCACGGUGGGUGGUGGGGAGAUUUAUCGGUUUUGGAUGGACUCGCGGCCUAUCAGCUUGUUGGUGUGGUGUUGGCUCACCAAGGCGACGACGGGUAGCCGGCCUGAGAGGGUGACCGGCCACACUGGGACUGAGACACGGCCCAGACUCCUACGGGAGGCAGCAGUGGGGAAUAUUGCACAAUGGGCGCAAGCCUGAUGCAGCGACGCCGCGUGCGGGAUGACGGCCUUCGGGUUGUAAACCUCUUUCGGUAGGGAAGAAGCGAAAGUGACGGUACCUGGAGAAGAAGCACCGGCUAACUACGUG